AUCUCGUCUGAUCUCGGAAGCUAAGCAGGGUCCGGCCUGGUUAGUACUUGGAUGAGAGA
rnacentral:rRNA from 1 species